ensembl:lncRNA
UUACAGGGGAGACUCUCGCAAACGUCUAAAACAUUCAGCGUGGCCAAAGGAUUCAUGUCACUGCUCGGGUUCGUUGUCAUCUUUAUUGUGUCUGUGUGUGAUCCCAGGGGUUUUGUUGUCAUGUUGGACAAAGUUGUGUCGUUCUCCCUCAACACUGAAGUGGGACUGUUUGUCUUCAUCAUGCUGAGAGAAUCCAGAGAGGACAGAUUCCAACAGCUUGCUGUCCCUCUGCCACUGGGCGACUGCGCGUUCAGCCUCAGCUGGCUGCUGCCCACCUACUUCCUGUUUGCAGUAACCUACGACGUCCUGCAGACCCUGGCGGAUCUGGCUCAUUAUAUGCAUUUCUACAACCACGAUCAGGAGCCACACAUUUACAAUCUGACGGGGAGUUUAGCAGCAGCCAAUCUCUCCACCCUCCUCUGAUCUAAGCAGCUAGUUAAGGCACAAACUGGUAGGAGUUAAAAUUGCCAAAAUGACAAGCUUAGCACCUUUGUUUGUUUUUUUUUAUUUGUGCACUGCACUUUCCCAAAAAACGUGUAUGUAUCAAUCUAACAGUCAGCUGCAGCUGCAGAGGGCUCUCUUCUGUUAUCUCACAGUGGCCAUCCUUGCUCAAGUUAGCGACACAGUAGAGAUCAAAAUUUCAGACUGUUUUUUUUUUUCCUUUCAGUGGCCUUCAUGGCAUAUUAGCUGUAGAUUUAGGACUCAUCUAGGGUUUUACUCAAAAUAAUGAAGUGUGGACCCAGUGUGUAACUACAGUGAUCGAAAUUAGAUAAAAGUUUUUGUUGCUAUAAAACAAUAGACAUCUAAAAAUUAAAUUCCUGAUCAUUAAGAACUGUAGAAGCCAUCUUAAUUGGAGCGGCUGGCAGAUCUGCAGCGUGGAUGUUACCAAUUCCACGCCUGCUCCGUUUGAUUUCGUCCCGCUGUUUCUUCAUCUCGUCCUCAGUCUACUAACCGUUGUGGAUUUCUUAGCCAUAGCAUUGUCCUCAGCAGUCAACCAGAGAUUCUCGAUUGGGUUUAGUUCAGGAUUCAGGGUUUGCUAUUUCAUUAUUUCAGGCUUAACAGCUGCAAGGAAGUGCUUUCCCAGUUCUGCAGAGUGAUUACGGAGCAUUGUCUUGCAUAAAUAUUGUUGGCUGAUUAGAAGCUGAUGUCAGGGAGGGAAUAAUCUGUGUUGAAGGAGCUUCUGCGGGACAUUAGCAUUCACCUUGCUGAGGUGAUGUGUAAGAGGCUCAAACUUUGCAGCAGAAAACAUCCACCAAACCAUUAACCUCCCUCCUCCAAACUUAACUGGCUUCUUCACACUGGUGUGGGUGCAUUUGUUUUCCAGUUUUAGUGCAGAACAUGAUGCUUCCUGUGUGAAUUUAUCAUUAUACCAGUUCCUCUGUGUCCACGUGAUCUGUUCCUCUGCAGAUUUCAGUAUACUCUUUUGAUUCUUCCUGUUUGAUGAUUGGUUUGGUCACUGCGGGCUUUCAGUCUGAUUUCUGUAUACCAAGAAAGAACCUUACACCUUUUCAGACGAGAAUCGGCAUCAGUGUUGAAUCAAAUCUGUACUGAGACUUUUCUCCUCUUCUCCUUCGGCUUGUAUAGACGGCCAGCAUUUUAGAGGUAAACUGCUUGAAUAUUCUAGCAGUCAGUGCUCUUUCAACAACCGGCUCCUCUAAUACAUUCAGCCUCCACUUGAACCACAGCCAUCAACAACCAGCAGCUCCCCAUCUUUCAAAAUGAUUGUUCUCUAUUUUUAUGGGGUCUGUCAGAUCCCAAAGCGUUCUCUAGUUUUGAUCACGGUUCCUUUAGAAAUUUUCAUUAAAGUUUUUUUGCAGUUUUGUUGUACAGUAUUUAGAGUGUUUUCAAAUUCAACGCUAUUCUUCAAUGACAUCUUUUUAUUAGUGUUAGGGUAACUUUAAAUUAGAAUUGUUACAGCCUUGACUUUGUUCUCUAAUUUUGGUCUCUACUGUACAAUAGUGCCAUUUUUCUGGGUGUGCUUAGUUCGUAUUAAGUCGACUUCUCUUAACUCUCAUUUUGAGUCUUUUAUACAGCCUUUUAACCAGGCUGCAGUCAUAGCUUCUGAGUCUGUGUGAUGGGUAGAGCACAGACUAACUGGGUAAUAUUUAGAUUGGAAAACAGAUUAAUGUUCAAAAAGCGAGAGACAGGUUAAAUCCUACUGAGAUGAAACGUUUCAGCAUGCUUAGUUUUUUGCAUCCAGUAUGACGGUAAAUACCGUUUGAAAUUCUUAGUGCUGUGCAAAAGUUUCAAGCAAGUAAAGUGAGGAUAGUUUGCAUUUAUCAGCUGUUAACGUUUUACAGAUUGUGAAGUAGGGCGAAACCUAAAUGAAAUCAGUGCUUGGUGUGAGCAGCCUUUGCCUUUUAAAUCGGCACCAAUUCAUGUCGGUACACUUGCACAAAGUUCUUUUAAGUCAUUCGGAAGGCAGGUUGUUCCAGGAAUCCCAACAGUUCUCAUGUGGAUUUCCUCUGCCUGUGUCUUCUGUCUCUUCAUGUAAUCCCAGACUCACUCCGUGAUGUAGAGAUCAGAGUUCUGUGGGUGUUACACCAUCUGUUACAGGACUUCUUGUUCUUGUUGUGGCUGAAGUUAGUUUUUCAUGACUGGCUGUUGCGAGGCAUCUUCAUGCUGUAUAAUGAAUCUGGGCUGCUUUCCUGAAUAUGGUGUCUGAUAAAUGGGACUAAACAUCAGAAACUUCUGCACAGUACUAUUUAUUACUUUGUUAUAGAUUUACUCCGUAACGCCUUAUGCAGAGUAUAAAAAUGGCAUUUAUUUAAACAGUAAUGUAUAAUAGUAGAGUAAGUUAUAUAGUUAUGACAUAGGAAGAUCUCUUCUUCAGGGUUUUUCAGCCUUUUCUGCAGUCUACAUUAUUUUCAUACUAAUAAUAUUGCAGUGCACACACAGGCACACGCACACACAAUCAUG